CGAUCUGCUGCGGACAUAUGAAGUGGAUGUGUGUGUCGAUCCCUCCUGCCGUCACGAUCAUCCCUUCGCCGGCAAGAGCUUCCGUACAGGCUCCGAUCACCAUUCCCGGCGUCACGCCGUCCAUGAUAUCCGGGUUUCCAGCUUUUCCGAUCCCGGCGAUCUUUCCGUCCCGGAUCCCAAUAUCUGCUUUGUAAAUACCCGUAUAAUCAAUGAUCAGCGCAUUUGUGAUCACCAGAUCCAACGCCCCGUCUUCCCUGGUGAUCUUCACUGACUGGCCCAUGCCGUCCCG
rnacentral:sRNA from 1 species